rnacentral:rRNA from 1 species
AUGAACGCUAGCUACAGGCUUAACACAUGCAAGUCGAGGGGCAUCAGGGUGUAGCAAUACACCGCUGGCGACCGGCGCACGGGUGAGUAACACGUAUCCAACCUGCCCUUUACUCGGGGAUAGCCUUUCGAAAGAAAGAUUAAUACCCGAUGGUAUAACAUGACCUCCUGGUUUUGUUAUUAAAGAAUUUCGGUAGAGGAUGGGGAUGCGUUCCAUUAGGCAGUUGGCGGGGUAACGGCCCACCAAACCUUCGAUGGAUAGGGGUUCUGAGAGGAAGGUCCCCCACAUUGGAACUGAGACACGGUCCAAACUCCUACGGGAGGCAGCAGUGAGGAAUAUUGGUCAAUGGGCGAGAGCCUGAACCAGCCAAGUAGCGUGAAGGAUGACCGCCCUAUGGGUUGUAAACUUCUUUUAUAUGGGAAUAAAGGGUGCCACGUGUGGCAUUUUGUAUGUACCAUAUGAAUAAGGAUCGGCUAACUCCGUGCCAGCAGCCGCGGUAAUACGGAGGAUCCGAGCGUUAUCCGGAUUUAUUGGGUUUAAAGGGAGCGUAGGUGGACAUGUAAGUCAGUUGUGAAAGUUUGCGGCUCAACCGUAAAAUUGCAGUUGAAACUGCGUGUCUUGAGUACAGUAGAGGUGGGCGGAAUUCGUGGUGUAGCGGUGAAAUGCUUAGAUAUCACGAAGAACUCCGAUUGCGAAGGCAGCUCACUGGACUGCAACUGACACUGAUGCUCGAAAGUGUGGGUAUCAAACAGGAUUAGAUACCCUGGUAGUCCACACAGUAAACGAUGAAUACUCGCUGUUUGCGAUAUACAGUAAGCGGCCAAGCGAAAGCAUUAAGUAUUCCACCUGGGGAGUACGCCGGCAACGGUGAAACUCAAAGGAAUUGACGGGGGCCCGCACAAGCGGAGGAACAUGUGGUUUAAUUCGAUGAUACGCGAGGAACCUUACCCGGGCUUAAAUUGCAAAUGAAUAUGCCGGAAACGGCAUAGCCGCAAGGCAUUUGUGAAGGUGCUGCAUGGUUGUCGUCAGCUCGUGCCGUGAGGUGUCGGCUUAAGUGCCAUAACGAGCGCAACCCUUAUCUUCAGUUACUAACAGGUCAUGCUGAGGACUCUGGAGAGACUGCCGUCGUAAGAUGUGAGGAAGGUGGGGAUGACGUCAAAUCAGCACGGCCCUUACGUCCGGGGCUACACACGUGUUACAAUGGGGGGUACAGAAGGCCGCUACACAGCGAUGUGAUGCCAAUCCCUAAAGCCCCUCUCAGUUCGGAUCGAAGUCUGCAGCCCGACUUCGUGAAGCUGGAUUCGCUAGUAAUCGCGCAUCAGCCACGGCGCGGUGAAUACGUUCCCGGGCCUUGUACACACCGCCCGUCAAGCCAUGGGAGCCGGGGGUACCUGAAGUACGUAACCGCAAGGAGCGUCCUAGGGUAAAACUGGUGACUGGGGCU